AAAUUGAAGAGUUUGAUCAUGGCUCAGAUUGAACGCUGGCGGCAGGCCUAACACAUGCAAGUCGAACGGUAACAGGAAGCAGCUUGCUGUUUCGCUGACGAGUGGCGGACGGGUGAGUAAUGUCUGGGAAACUGCCUGAUGGAGGGGGAUAACUACUGGAAACGGUAGCUAAUACCGCAUAACGUCGCAAGACCAAAGAGGGGGACCUUCGGGCCUCUUGCCAUCGGAUGUGCCCAGAUGGGAUUAGCUAGUAGGU
rnacentral:rRNA from 1 species